UACGGAGGGGGCUAGCGUUGUUCGGAAUUACUGGGCGUAAAGCGCACGUAGGCGGACUGGAAAGUCAGAGGUGAAAUCCCAGGGCUCAACCUUGGAACUGCCUUUGAAACUAUCAGUCUGGAGUUCGAGAGAGGUGAGUGGAAUUCCGAGUGUAGAGGUGAAAUUCGUAGAUAUUCGGAGGAACACCAGUGGCGAAGGCGGCUCACUGGCUCGAUACUGACGCUGAGGUGCGAAAGCGUGGGGAGCAAACAGGA
rnacentral:rRNA from 1 species